CUUAGUUAAAGUAGAAUUCAACUUGAGAGUAAUCAAUUCAAACCAAACCGCUACCCGACCCGGUUUCACAAAUUCUUGAAGAGCAUACCACUAGAUCACUAAGAAUCAAUGGCUUGGGACCCUAUUUUCUGGUUAAUUUUCUUCGUAAUGAACAUAAUUCUCAUCGCAUUAACCAUCUACCAGAUUGUCUGCUUAUCGGACUUGGAGGCCGACUAUUUAAAUCCAUAUGAUUCUUCAUCUCGCAUUAACUCUGUGGUUGUCCCUGAGAUGGUAGUGCAGGGUGUGCUCUGUGCUUUGUUUCUUUUGACGGGGAAUUUUUAUAUGUUCUUGCUUACACUCCCAAAUGCUUGUUAUAAUGCCAGAUUAUUUAUGAAGCAACAACAUCUGAUUGAUGUGACUGAGGUUUUCAGAUCUCUCGAUGCUGAAAAGAAGUAUAGACUAAUCAAGCUAGCAUUUUAUUUAGUACUGUUUGUUGUAGUUCUAAUCAGAACUAUUGGUUCCGGAGCACUGUCUACCAUGAUUUCUCUCUUCCAUGUCAGUAAUGAAGAAUUAGACAUUCGCUCGUCCAUCCUUGAAUUCUAGGGUUUGCACCACCAGAUGUCACCGUAUACUACUUUGUUGCUUUUCGCCCUUAAUAAUAAGGCUUGUUUUCACAGUAGUCCACCAUGCAAUAGAUCAGGAUGGGGGCCUCCAUGAAUUUGGGAUGUUUGAUUAAUCCACGGAUUAUUGCUUGUAUAACUCUUCUGUAACUUUGUAAAGAAGCUAGGAGGUCUGCAUUACUGACAUAAGUGUAAUCGACCUGAAGCUUCAAAGAAUGAUGUUAAUGACCUGUUUUUAGAUAUUUGCCUUAACCAUUUUUUACUCUAGUCUCACGUGUAAGAUAUUUGUAUACUAGUUGCCCUCUUAAAUUACCUUGCCAGUUUUCAUGAUAUAUAGGCAAGGCUCAUGUUUGUUCU